CGGGUGGUAAUGCCGGAUGCUCCAUCACACUGCAUGGUGUGUUGGGAAAGCCUUUGCGGCAUGGGAUGGGGUCGCGUCCUAUCAGCUUGAUGGCGGGGUAACGGCCCACCAUGGCUUCGACGGGUAGCCGGCCUGAGAGGGCGACCGGCCACAUUGGGACUGAGAUACGGCCCAGACUCCUACGGGAGGCAGCAGUGGGGAAUAUUGCACAAUGGGCGCAAGCCUGAUGCAGCGACGCCGCGUGAGGGAUGGAGGCCUUCGGGUUGUAAACCUCUUUUGUUAGGGAGCAAGGCAUUUUGUGUUGAGUGUACCUUUCGAAUAAGCACCGGCUAACUACGUGCCAGCAGCCGCGGUAAUACGUAGGGUGCAAGCGUUAUCCGGAAUUAUUGGGCGUAAAGGGCUCGUAGGCGGUUCGUCGCGUCCGGUGUGAAAGUCCAUCGCUUAACGGUGGAUCCGCGCCGGGUACGGGCGGGCUUGAGUGCGGUAGGGGAGACUGGAAUUCCCGGUGUAACGGUGGAAUGUGUAGAUAUCGGAAAGAACACCA
rnacentral:rRNA from 1 species